rnacentral:rRNA from 1 species
UAGUUGGUGGGGUAAAGGCCUACCAAGGCGACGAUCAGUAGCGGGUCUGAGAGGAUGAUCCGCCACACUGGAACUGAGACACGGUCCAGACUCCUACGGGAGGCAGCAGUGGGGAAUUUUGGACAAUGGGGGCAACCCUGAUCCAGCCAUUCCGCGUGAGUGAAGAAGGCCUUCGGGUUGUAAAGCUCUUUCAGCUGGAACGAAACGGUACGCUCUAACAUAGCGUGCUAAUGACGGUACCAGCAGAAGAAGCACCGGCUAACUACGUGCCAGCAGCCGCGGUAAUACGUAGGGUGCGAGCGUUAAUCGGAAUUACUGGGCGUAAAGCGUGCGCAGGCGGAUUGUUAAGCAAGACGUGAAAUCCCCGGGCUUAACCUGGGAAUGGCGUUUUGAACUGGCAGUCUAGAGUGUGUCAGAGGGGGGUAGAAAUCCACGUGUAGCAGUGAAAUGCGUAGAGAUGUGGAGGAAUACCAAUGGCGAAGGCAGCCCCCUGGGAUAACACUGACGCUCAUGUACGAAAGCGUGGGUAGCAAACAGGAUUAGAUACCCUGGUAGUCCACGCCCUAAACGAUGUCAACUGGUUGUUGGGGGAGUGAAAUCCCUUAGUAACGAAGCUAACGCGUGAAGUUGACCGCCUGGGGAGUACGGUCGCAAGAUUAAAACUCAAAGGAAUUGACGGGGACCCGCACAAGCGGUGGAUGAUGUGGAUUAAUUCGAUGCAACGCGAAAAACCUUACCUACCCUUGACAUGUCCAGAAUCCUGCAGAGAUGCGGGAGUGCCCGAAAGGGAAUUGGAACACAGGUGCUGCAUGGCUGUCGUCAGCUCGUGUCGUGAGAUGUUGGGUUAAGUCCCGCAACGAGCGCAACCCUUGUCAUUAGUUGCUACGCAAGGGCACUCUAAUGAGACUGCCGG